GUUGCCCCAGUGUUUAGUGUUACCCCAGUGUUUAGUGUUGCCCCACAGUGUUUAGUGUUGCCCCACAGUGUUUAGUGUUGCCCCAGUGUUUAGUGUUGCCCCAGUGUUAGUGUUGCG